AAGAUCAUGUUUCUUCUUCUCCCAAUCCCUUCAUCUGAACCGCCUAAGAACUCUAUGUUUCAAAAUCUCUAAAUGGUGAAACAUCAAUCUCCAAACCCAAAUCUGAUCAUCAAAACACUCGAUUUUACUCUAUUCAAUUCGUGUCAAACUUGAAAAACCUAAAUCGCGAUUAACAGUUGCUGUUCUUGAGAAGAAUUCUGACAAGAAGGGAAAAGUUUGAGGAGAAUCUAAUCAUCGAAAGCUAUUUAAAAGUUAUUUAGAUAACUUCAAUAGAGCCGAUGAAGUUGAUGUCUUGUAGCUUUUAUUGAAUUACAUCGAAGAUAAGUAUUCAUUCUCUUCUUUAAAUUUUUCGAUUGCUAUUCUCUUGCAAUUCUCAAUGAAACAGUAUGUCAGCCAUGAUGCUUAUGAUUUAUUUAUGAAACAUUUAAGUAAACUUUGAUCUUUAUUUGUGAGCUUAACAUUAAAAGGAUACAGAACUUAACACUAAAGAUUAAUUGCAGGAUCAUAUAACAAUGAUGUAAAUGGGAGAAGCAGCUGCUAUUUAGCGAACAUGGUAUAUAACUCUCAUUUUAAUCCUUAAUCCUGUGAGUCCUUGUUUUCUUUUUAUGUCAUUUGAAUUUUGUAUGUUGAAGUAUAUAUAGAUCACUGAUACUUAGCAAUCGUUAAUGUGGGUAAAGAUGUUUCUCGAGGCUUAGCUAUUCCGUUCUAGUGGUUACAGUCGCUAGAUAACUACCAUGUUUAUAGGUUGUUGUGUCCAUUUGAAACAACCAAUAGCGAUUUGUUUUUGAUGGACCCUCCACAUCUUCUGAAACCAUUUUCAAGUGUGUAACUUACUUGUAUUUUACAAUUGUAUAUUACUCUGUUUUACCUUUUCAAGUAAGUAACUUAUAUCUACUACAAGUAAAUCUUUUUGAAACUCUUCUCUAUAAUUGCAGUUUUUCUGAAAUUAAUCUCUAAAUUUGAAGAGCAUAUGUUAUUUAUCAGUUCACAUGUGACUCGAUUUCUAUCUCAUUAUCUUGCUGACAAUCUGAUAGAUAUUGGUAAUGAAGAAGUAAGGCUUGAAUGUAGGGGAAAAGAUAUUGGUUCUCGUAGAUGUGGUGGCAAGAAGCCUUAGAAGGGGCUUCUGGAAGGUUUCCUCAGUACUAUGAUGCAUAUCAUCAUGAGUUGAAAGUGCUCAUCUUGCUUUUUUUCAAAUCUGUGAAAUAUCAUGUUAUUUACAUUUGUUAUUCAGAAACUUUGGGUUUCCUGGAAUGAUCUUUGUAGACAAGUGAAAGAAUCUGUAAAAAAAUGUUUGUCCGAGGUUACCCAUUCCGCAACAAGGAUCUUGUUUGUUUCUCUGCUGCAUUCAGCUUGUUCGUAAUUUAAGCUGUUUUGACGAAAUUGGGUUUUCAGCCGAUAACUUGCAGGAGGUAGUACACUCACUAUCUUAUGUCUUGGUAUCCAGACAAAGAAUAGGGACAAGCCAUUUUAAAGUACUGAGUGAGUUUUCGCAGGAAUGCAUUGCAAGGUUGUGGAGGGGUACAAAUGCUGUUUUUUUAUGCAAUUCAUAUAUUUACUGAUGUCUGUCUGACUGGCCAACUGAGUCCAGUUUUCUUUUUUUUUGCUGAUGUCGCCUUUUGUAUGUUGUUUGGACAAAGAAUUCAUGAGAUUGAAUUUUACAAUAUAUGUCAAUCUAUUUGGAAGUUAAAAAGUUUUUGUA